rnacentral:rRNA from 1 species
GAUGAACGCUGGCGGCGUGCCUAAUACAUGCAAGUCGAGCGAACGGACGAGAAGCUUGCUUCUCUGAUGUUAGCGGCGGACGGGUGAGUAACACGUGGAUAACCUACCUAUAAGACUGGGAUAACUUCGGGAAACCGGAGCUAAUACCGGAUAAUAUUUUGAACCGCAUGGUUCAAAAGUGAAAGACGGUCUUGCUGUCACUUAUAGAUGGAUCCGCGCUGCAUUAGCUAGUUGGUAAGGUAACGGCUUACCAAGGCAACGAUGCAUAGCCGACCUGAGAGGGGGAUCGCCCACACGGGAACUGGGACGCGGACCAUGCUCCUACGGGAGGGAGCAGUAGGGAAUCUUCCGCAAUGGGCGAGAGCCUUGCGGAGCAACGCCGCGUGAGUUAUGAAGGUCUUCGGAGCGUAAAACUCUGUUAUUAGGGAUGAACAUAUGUGUAAGUAACUGUGCACAUCUUGACGGUACCUAAUCAGAAAGCCACGGCUAACUACGUG